rnacentral:rRNA from 1 species
UAAUACGUAGGUGGCGAGCGUUACUCGGAAUUACUAGGCGUAAAGCGCGUGUAGGCGGGAGCUUAAGUUCGCUGUUAAAUCUCACGGCUCAACCGUGAAAUGCCGGCGAAUACUGGGUUUCUUGAAUUCGGUAGGGGUAACUGGAAUUCCAGGUGUAGCAGUGAAAUGCGUAGAUAUCUGGAAGAACGCCAAAGGCGAAGGCAGGUUACUGGGCCGCAAUUGACGCUGAGACGCGAAAGCUAGGGGAGCAAACAGGAUUAGAUACCCUGGUAGUCCUAGCUGUAAACGAUGUAGACCAGGUGUGGGAGGUAUCGACCCCUUCCGCGCCGACGCUAACGCAUUAAGUCUACCGCCUGGGGAGUACGGCCGCAAGGCUA